GGAAGGAUCAUUACAGAAUGGACUCUUGUCUCCUUUGCGGCGAGCGGCAACCUGGAGAGACCAAUGCAAUAGUAUCUGAUGCCAUGGUUGGGCAUGAUCCCACCGUGGGGGCCGCAGGGAUGCAUGCCUGCGUCAACCUAUCGCUGAUGGUGGCCCUUUCAGCACCUUUUGGUCUCCAGAUGCCGCUACGCUGUUUCAUUUCACCCAACCUGUAGCAAGGUGGGGACCAAUACAAUAGUAUCUGAUGCCAUGGUGGGGCAUGAUCUCACCGUGGGGGCUGUUGUGUCUGCCUGCGUCAACCAUAGGAUGGUAGCCCUUUCAGCGCGUGGACGUCGGUUAUCCGGCAGUGCGCCCCUUUGGUCUUCACCCUGCUACGCCAUAAUAUUACCCAAUCUGUCGCAUGUUGGUGGCAUCCCAUACAAAUAUAUAUAUAACUUUCAACAACGGAUCUCUUGGCUCUCGCAUCGAUGAAGAACGCAGCGAAAUGCGAUAAGUAAUGUGAAUUGCAGAAUUCAGUGAAUCAUCGAAUCUUUGAACGCACCUUGCGCUCCUUGGCAUUCCGAGGAGCAUGCCUGUUUGAGUGUCGUUGAAUUCUCAUGCCCCCCCGGGCAACGGAACAUUGACAGGCUGGUCACUGUGUAAUGCAUAUCGGCGUCUGGAAUCGUGCUUGGGGGAGUGGAUUGGUGGAGGUCCUGCAGGUGGGGUAUUCCCUCUGCUCCUCUGAAAUGCAUGCAGUUUUGUGCCGGAUUCCUAUGUCCUAGAUGGUGAGACCGAUCUUGAAGGAAAGGUUGGAAGGAGAUUAACCAAGGCCGGGAGGUUCCGAGCACAUGUGCUUUAGGAGCUCUUGAUAGACUUGUCAGACAAGCCAGGAAGGAGGUUUCCGGUUGGCUGAUGGCGGCCCUCGCAGGAAGCUUGCGGAAUGGUGUUGUCUGUGAUCCGUAUUCGUCUAGUGGUGUAUGGAUUGUGCAGCGCAACGCGUGCCAUGUGCACCUGCCUUCGGUAUGAUACAAUUCUUGCCCUACCGUGUUCAGGCUGGUGCCAUGCAUGCACACAUAUUUGACCUCAAAUCAGGCAGGACUACCCGCUGAACUUAAGCAUAUCAAUAAGCGGAGGAAAAGAAACUAACAAGGAUUCCCCUAGUAACUGCGAGUGAAGCGGGAAGAGCUCAAAUUUGAAAUCUGGCGGCCCCCGUGGCCGUCCGAGUUGUAAGCUAGAGAAGCAUCGUCCGCGCUGGGGCCAUGUACAAGCCUCCUGGAACGGAGCGUCAGAGAGGGUGAGAAUCCCGUCUAUGACAUGGACCUCCCGGGGCACCUGGACGGCGCGCUCAAAGAGUCGAGUUGUUUGGGAAUGCAGCUCCAAAUGGGUGGUAAACUCCAUCUAAAGCUAAACAUUGGCGAGAGACCGAUAGCGAACAAGUACCGUGAGGGAAAGAUGAAAAGAACUUUGGAAAGAGAGUUAAACAGUACGUGAAAUUGUUGAAAGGGAAACGCUUGAAGUCAGUCGCGUCGGCCUGGGAUCAGCCCCGCUUCUAGCGAGGUGCACUCCCCUGUCGACGGGUCAGCACCAGUUUCGACCGUUGGAGAAGGGUCGGGGGAAUGUGGCAUCCUCGGAUGUGUUUAUAGCCCUCGACCGCACGCAUCGGUUGGGAUUGAGGAACUCGGCGCGCCUCGCAAGGGGCCGGGUUUUCGAACCACGUCCGCGCCCAGGAUGCUGGCAGAAUGGCUUUAAUCGACCCGUCUUGAAACACGGACCAAGGAGUCUAACAUGCCUGCGAGUGCUUGGGUGGAAAACCCACGCGCGCAAUGAAAGUGAAAGUUGAGAUCCCCGUCGUGGGGAGCAUCGACGCCUGGACCAGACCUUCUGCGACGGAUCCGCGGUGGAGCAUGCAUGUUGGGACCCGAAAGAUGGUGAACUAUGCCUGAAUAGGGUGAAGCCAGAGGAAACUCUGGUGGAGGCUCGUAGCGAUUCUGACGUGCAAAUCGAUCGUCGAAUUUGGGUAUAGGGGCGAAAGACUAAUCGAACCAUCUAGUAGCUGGUUCCUGC
rnacentral:misc_RNA from 1 species